CUCCACUCUUGUAUCAUUAAUCAGCAAGACCGAGCAAUCCUCAUAAGGACAGUAGAAUUUCUGGGAACAGUCAAUCACAGACUCGCAUAAAGCAAUACCCCACCUAUCAAUCUCAUGGGUUGUACGCACUUCUACUAUAUCGCGGCAGUAGUCAGGCUCUAAAAUUCCUUCACAGGCAGAUACAGGGCAUGAAAUACUUGUAAUAUUUUCAUCAAGCUUCGAAGUUAUAUAUCUAACUGUGCAUUUAGUACAGUAGAAGUGCGUACAACCCAUGAGAUUGAAGGAGUCAUUUAAGGCUCUUGGUUCCACACAUAUUUCACAAACGAAAGAUGGAAAAUCAGUCUGGGAGUCAGGAGACGGCAAUUCCUCUGAGAUUUUCAUGUUAUCUUUAUUUUCAUCUUCUUCAGCCUCACCGUGACAUGACUUGGGUGAUAAGAAUACAUCUUCAUCAUUGUUGUGGUGCUUUUGCACAAUAUAUUUGGAAAUCACCUUGGACUCAACAACCCCUUUUGGCUUCUUAUGUCUUCUUCGGAAUUUGUAUAACAUGGUACCCACCUUGUUUCCCAUCUUCUAUCUUACUUAUGCUUGAUACCUGAGAACUUCUGCUGCACUAACCUUACAAGAUUCACCUUGCUCUUGUUUGUCAGUUUGUGUUCGCUUAUUGAGCGGAAGAGAACAAACCAUUGAAUCUAAUAAUAAGUGAGCAGAAGAAAUAACAGAAUUAAUUCAAAAGCUCUGUUUAGUUAUUAAGAAGUUUUGGG
rnacentral:misc_RNA from 1 species